AUUGAACGCUGGCGGCAUGCCUUACACAUGCAAGUCGAACGGCAGCACGGGAGCAAUCCUGGUGGCGAGUGGCGAACGGGUGAGUAAUGUAUCGGAACGUGCCCAGUCGUGGGGGAUAACGCAGCGAAAGCUGUGCUAAUACCGCAUACGAUCUAAGGAUGAAAGCGGGGGAUCGCAAGACCUCGCGCGAUUGGAGUGGCCGAUAUCAGAUUAGCUAGUUGGUGGUGUAAAGGCUCACCAAGGCGACGAUCUGUAGCUGGUCUGAGAGGACGACCAGCCACACUGGAACUGAGACACGGUCCAGACUCCUACGGGAGGCAGCAGUUGGGGAAUUUUGGACAAUGGGCGCAAGCCUGAUCCAGCAAUGCCGCGUGCAGGAUGAAGGCCUUCGGGUUGUAAACUGCUUUUGUACGGAGCGAAAAGGUUCUCUCUAAUACAGGGGGCUCAUGACGGUACCGUAAGAAUAAGCACCGGCUAACUACGUGCCAGCAGCCGCCGUAA
rnacentral:rRNA from 1 species